rnacentral:lncRNA from 1 species
GGUCAGGAGCGGGCGCAGUCAGCACUUAGAACGUGGAACACCUUUCGGGCGACUAUUUUUCUAACUGAAGAGGAUGGUUUUCAACCCAAAGCCAGAAACUUCAUUCUGACGUACAUCUAAACAAGGUGCAAACCCUGAAGCCAGAAGCCACCCAGAUGUGGCCGCCUCUGCUCUGCAGGGCUGCGGGCCUCUCACAGUGACCUGUUGCCUUGCCGGCUGAACACAGGCCCCAGGACCAGGAGGGCUUGGGACCACCUCCAGACCACCCUGCCUGCCUCCGGACACAGGGUUCCGCUGAUGUCACACCCCAGCUCCCCUCAACGUGGGGGGGUGUCCCGCAGCACCUCGCUGUGCACCCCAC